UUGAUCCUGGCUCAGAAUCAACGCUGGCGGCGUGCCUAACACAUGCAAGUCGAACGAGAAAGCGGUAGCAAUACCGUGAGUACAGUGGCGCACGGGUGAUUAACACGUGGAUAACCUGCCUUUGAGCGGGGAAUAACCCUGGGAAACCGUGGCUAAAACCGCAUGACAUCCCGGAACGAUGUUCUGGGAUUGAAAUUCGUAAGAAGCUCGAAGAGGGGUCCGCGGCUGAUUAGCUAGUUGGUGAGGUAAUGGCCCACCAAGGCUUUGAUCAGUAGCCGGCCUGAGAGGGCGGACGGCCAUACUGGAACUGAAACACGGUCCAGACUCCUACGGGAGGCAGCAGUGGGGAUUUUUGCGCAAUGGGGGAAACCCUGACGCAGCAACGCCGCGUGGACGAUGUAGCAUCUCGGUGUGUAAAGUCCUUUCGGCAGGGACGAAUAAAUUGACGGUACCUGCAGAAGAAGCCCCGGCUAACUCCGUGCCAGCAGCCGCGGUAAUAUGGU
rnacentral:rRNA from 1 species